CUCAAUCUUGCGCGCGCGCUGUAUCUAAAAUAAAAGAAAAACUUUCCAAACUAAACAUGAAACUUCUCCGGUAACAUAAUAAUAUAGACCCCAUACAAAAACAAACAAACAAACAAACAAAUACCCCCCCCCCCCUUUUUUUUUCCAAAUCAAUCAAUAAAAAAAAUCAAUUAUCCAUUCAUCAGAGGGGAAAGACUGCCUAACAAUUGUUUUCAAAACAAUUGCUUUAUAUUUAUUAAGUCUUUCCACUUUUCUGUGGAAAGACUUAUUGUUUUGUUCUGAUUAAUUAUUAUUAUUAUUAUUAUUUUUUUUUUUUUUUUUUUCUUCCGCCAAAUUUUGUUCUUGCGAUAAAUGUUUGUUUCGCAAUAUGUCGCUUAGAUAUUUCUCAUAUUGUAUCGUAUAGUUUAUGCGCUUUUAAAUUUCACCCUGCUAAGACGAACAAUUUUCUCUGUAAGAGUUAUCUCCCUAUUCACUGUUUAUCAUGUGUGUGCAUCUCCUUCGUAACAAAAAAAGAUAGCGACAAAAUUCUUUUUACAAAUUGUUCGUUACAUCCUCAGAAAAUUUUUGGCUAAUUUGGAUCGAAGCGAUUCGAUGAAAUUUUAUAGGAGUUAUCUAUCUUUACGGAAUAAAUUUGUCGGUAUGUUUUUUUAACUCAUAAACCGUUAACCGUAU
rnacentral:lncRNA from 1 species